rnacentral:lncRNA from 1 species
GUGCCACCUUAAGAGCUGUAACACUCACUGCGAGGGUCCGCAGCUUCAUUCUUGAAGUCAGUGAGACCAAGUUCCGGACACAUUCUCAGGGCCAAAAUGGCUGACUAGAAGCAGCUACAGUGUGUAGCUCUCAGGGAGAGGAAGGAAAGGGAAGAGUAAAUACAGCACCUUCAACUGAAAUAUCCAGGUAUUCACAUUGGGACUGACCAGGGAAACAGCUGGACCCACAGAGAACGAAGAAAAGCAGGGCAGGGUGAUGGCCUGCACGAGAGUGACACGGAGCCAAGGGAACCUCCCCCUCCCAGGGAAGUGGGCAUGAAAGGUUCAAAUAGAAAAGCAGCAUGGUGAUGGGGCUGACUGUUCCAGAAUUGAUGUGCCCGUGCUCCGUGAGGAACGCAGCUCAUCUGUACCAGCAAAUGUGUUGGCUCCUGCCUGCAAUUGUAUCAUUCAGGUGUGCAUUGUAAAAACAAUUCACGGAUAAGCACAGUUGCUCUGGCAAGAACUUCCAGUACAGCGUUGAUGAGCAGUGGUAAAAGGAUUUCACUGUUUUCUGCUAUCUGGAUUUUCCCAAAGAUCCGCUAAAUCCUAAACUUCAUCUUGGUCUGAAGAAGGGCAAGUCCUCUCUCCAGCUCUUCAUUUGCUGACUCUCACUGAUGCAAGAAGAAUGAAGUCUCUUACCUGCCUUCUCCUAGGACAUCCUGGGAGAAACUGUGACUGCUGGUGUGUUCUCAAAACUCACCAACAUGAUUCUCCUUGUGGCUAUAUGACUCUAGAAAGGGAAUUUAAAUAAAAUGAUAACAAUUAACAGAUACUUUUAUGUAAACAACCGGUAGUGACCACUAUACUAGUUGGUUUGUAUUUACCAAAUUCCAUGUCUGAGGCCAAGAAUUUAUCUCUAAAUCCUCUGGGAUAAAAAUCCAGCAUCUCAUCUUUUUUUCUGCCAGCUGUAAAAACAUUGCAGGAAGGUACUGAGUACUUUUUGUUGUUGUUUUCUCCUUUCUUUGAAUCUUUGGCUUUGACAAGCAUGGAAUGAAAAUCAUAUAGAGCAUGGAGCUUAUAGCAAAGGAGAAUGUAGAGGCAAAGAGAAUAAAAAUGCUGGGAUAAUUUCUUGAAAAAUUACUUAGAGGAAGAUGUCUUAUUUUUGUGUCAUAUAACCUCUCACAUGGUUCUUGAAUGUUGCUAACUAUGGCUAGCAGUGCGAUUUCCAACAAGUAAACUGUAAUCUAGCCAAUGCUGUGAGAGUUGUACAUGUCAACCAAGGGUCAAAUAUGGCUAUACCUGUCAAGAGUUGCAAAGUAAAUGUAGAAUCUUACUUUCCCGAGGUACAUAUAAUUUAAGUUUCUUGUUCUGUUCUUUACUGUGGCAUUAUUAAAACUUAAACCCACGCCAUUUUCCUACUGAGUCACUUUCAAUGCAUAAGAAUAUGCUUUCAAGCUAUAACUGCAUCAAUACCUGUGAUUGUACUUUCUAUUGAGAAUACAAAUGCUUUUUCCCCCCUUCAGAGCUGUCAAAGCUUCUGAUGCUGAAGAGUUGAUCUUGGAAAAUGCAGGUUCAGUCCUGCUACCAGCAGAAAGUGAAGAAAGUCCUUAAUUUCACAAUCGAUGUCAUCCUAACGAUGCCAGUAUAAUAAUGGUGCAGAAAACAUACUUCAUUGAUUUUAUCUUUUUCUAUUUGGGAAGGCAAAAUUAAUCAUUCAUCUGAUCUGUGAUGUGACAAGUUAGAUAUCAUAUUCUGUUAAAAUCAGUUAGUUGUCGAUCAAAAUCAACAGUGCUUUUUCUUCAGAUUGAUUGGCACUAAAUUCUUCAUAGCUUAAGAAAUUUGACAUUUUAUAUAAGAACUCAAACAGCAUGGAGCCACAAUUUUAUUGUCGAUUAUAACAUGCCUGUAAUUGACAAGUAAGUAAGUAAACACCUGUUUGGUGUGAUCCAUUCAUCUUAAUUCCAUUGUGGUCCCAUGCUUUUGCUUUAAUUUUAUGCUUGCUAUAUUUGGACCUGAAAUAACUCCCCACAAGCCUUUCUGUAAGCAAUAUUAAAAACAAACUUCUUUGGUUAACUUUCUGUAUUUCUCAGUCAGAUGCUAGGAUCAGAUGCACAGCCACAAACUUAGUUUCUCACACUAUACAUGUAAUAUAUUAAUUACAUAAUUUACCCUAUGUAUAUUUGGUUGCUACCAAAUGUUGAUGAAUCUUUGUUAGUGGAUUGUGUGCUUUUUCCAUAUGUAAUGAGAGUUUGCGACACUGCUUCUGCUUGGAAAGUAUGCUAUAGUUAAUGCAUUUAUUUUAUUAAACACCAACAGAACUACAUCUAGUUAUUUCUAAUCACUUGGUAGCUA